UUGACCUCGGAUCAGGUAGUGAUACCCGCUGAACUUAAGCAUAUCACUAAGCGGCGGAACUCCGGUCAAUGACCCUUCCACAAGGUUCACCUACGUGAUGCC
rnacentral:rRNA from 1 species